AUUACAAUUGGAAGCUAUGAAGAAUUCUUUCUAAGUGGGCACUUUAAGAGUUUGGAGCUAGUUGUGCAACCGACCAAUUAAGAU
rnacentral:ncRNA from 25 species